rnacentral:rRNA from 1 species
CGCAGCCUACGGGAGGCAGCAGUGGGGAAUAUUGGGCAAUGGGCGCAAGCCUGACCCAGCAACGCCGCGUGAAGGAAGAAGGCUUUCGGGUUGUAAACUUCUUUUCUCAGGGACGAAGAAAGUGACGGUACCUGAGGAAUAAGCCACGGCUAACUACGUGCCAGCAGCCGCGGUAAUACGUAGGUGGCAAGCGUUGUCCGGAUUUACUGGGUGUAAAGGGCGUGCAGCCGGGAGUGCAAGUCAGAUGUGAAAUCCCGCGGCUCAACCGCGGAACUGCAUUUGAAACUGUGCUUCUUGAGUGCUGG